ensembl:lncRNA
GUCCCGGGUGUGUCUGAGCCUGGGGUCUCCAGAAACAGAGGCUGUGACAAAGGCUUAAGAGUGACCCAGGGGCCGGAGUGUGUGUUGGGGUGGUGGUGCUGGGAUGGGGUGGCUCCCAGAGUUGCUCCAUCCCACGGGACCGCCCGGAGCACCCCACCCGCGAAGAACGGGGAAGUGUUUCGGCACAGGCUCCAUCUCGUGCUGGCCAAGGUCACCCUUGGGAGCACAGCUCCCUCCACGCCUCCGGGCUGCACCGGUUUGCACCAGAAAAGUCCCAGGCCAGGAAGGGUCGGGACGGCUUGAGGGGGCGGGCUGCUCCUGUGUGAAGCUGGUCAAAGCCUGCAUCCAAAACCAAAGAAACCAGCCAGCCUGCAUGGAGCCGGGCGUCCAGCCGCGGCUGGAGUGGGCGAGACCAAGAUGGUUUGAAAGGUGCCCAAAGCUGCCUGACCCUGGGAGCCGUGGAAGGUCAUCGGGCAGUGGAGCGGCCUGACGGGUCUGUAUUCUAGAAGGGUUCGGCUGAUCCCAAGGUGAGAGCGCAUGAGCAGUAGGAUCUGACGUGGGAGGCCCGCCCCGAGUCGGUGGUUCUCAGCCUCCAGUGCCCCAGAGUCCCUUGGUGGCGAGGCGAGGCUGGACGGCUGGGCUCGGGCCCGGGACUGCGUUUCUGCUGGGCUGGGGGUGCUGAUGCUGCCGGCCCGGGGACGCACGCUCGGACCCACGUGCGGAGCUGGGACCCAAGACAGAAAAGCAAGCUCCGGGACUGUGGGGUCUCAAAAGGGGCACAGGAGCCCCGCCUUCCAGCCCAGACUCAGCUCUCGACCUCAGGCUGCCCGUCUAUGUGAGCGGAGCCAUUGCCCUGGGCAUCUCUGCUCUGACGGCCCACGAGGCUUCCAGCCCAGCCACGCGUGGAGAGCUGUCAACAGCCCGGGACACUCAGAGAGGAAGAAAAGGAGCUCUUCUGUCCUCAGGAGGGGACGUCUCCCGGGGUCGCAGGGGGGACCUGAAGCCUCGAUGCCCCCCUGCUUGCUUCUGGAGGAGCCAACCGCAACUGUCAGGCCUCUCCACCGACCUGCGCCACGGCUCUGUCUGGCAGACCGGGAGAGGGUGGCGUGUCAGAAAGGCUGGGAGUCCAUGAGGAUGAGGCCUCAGGAAGAAGCACAACCCAGGGCAGUCGGCUGGGGGCCCCGGUCCUUCACUUUGUUGCCUCUGCGUAGAUUGGAGCUCCGUGGCCUGAGGUCCAAGGCCCUCGACAGCCAAGCCCAAACUAACUGGUUAGCCCGCUCCGGUCAGAAGACACCCACCACUUUCACAGCCACUGAGGGAGUGAGGGCUUUGGAAACAGAGUGACUCAGAUCAAAUGCUGUGUGACCCUGAAGAAGAUCCUUAACCUCUCUGAGCCUCCUUCUCCUCAGUUGUACGGUGAAGGUAACUGAGCUUGCAUCCCGGAGCUGUUUUAAGGAGUGAGUAAGAGAAGGUAGAUAAUAGGAUGCCUCUUGCCAAACAGGAUUCAGGAAACAAUAGCAAUUGUCAGUAUGCCCAGAGCGCCGUGUGACCCCAUCCUGGUCAUUAAAUGCCGUCUCUAGACGCAUAACGCCCACAGUGAUUUCUCCAGCCCCGGGGUCCAGACUCAGCAGACGACAGCGCCUGCAACGCCUCCACCUGGGGGUCUGACAUGCAUCUCAAACCUGACCCGCCCCCUCCAGAGCCGUGGCUCCCUCGGAUGCAGCCCACCCCAAAGGACGGCCCCGCCGGCCUUCCCUUCUGCCCGAACGGCCCCCCGAGCCAGGGAUCCCAGCCCAGAAACCUCGAGCUCGUCCUUCGUUCUGCUCGUCCUCCUGACGCCUCAAGCCCAGCCCACCGGCAGCACCGAGAGCUCUGCUUCAGAGUGUUUCCAGGACCCGCCGCCCCCACGGCCACUGCCAGAGCCGGCAGGGGACCUCCCGCCAUGGUGGGCACCUGCUAUAAUCUGCGCCACUCAACACGUCGCCCCAGGGCCACACGUGGCUGCUGCACACCUGAAGUGUGGCCGCUGUAUGAGGAAGCAACAAUGCUUCGACGUUCCUCGUGGAACUUUCCUUUCCGUCCGCACGUGGGCUGUGGCCCGCCGUGGACCCCCGCGUCCGGCCCCGGCCUGGUGGGCAGCUGCUGCGGCCGUUUCAUCGUCUGAACGAAUGGGAACUCUUCCAGCCAGCAGGGGGUUGAAACAGCAGGGAGGGAAGCCCUGAGGCAUUCAGUUAUCUCAGAACGAAGCCAGUGUGAGGAGAGCAGAACUAGGAAAUGGAACAGGAAAGACUGAACCCUGGAUCCAGCUGCACCUGAAGCUCAUCUCCUGCACUCUUCUGAUAACAUAAGCAAAAAAAAAUCCCUUUGAGCUGUUUCUGUAAUCUGCCACCCAAAGAACUGAAUAAUUAUCUUCAGUCCUACACUCCAGCCCCACCAGCCUGGUUGCAAGUUCUCAGAACAGAUCAGACAGCCCCCACUUCCAGAUUGUUCCUCAAGCCAUAACCUCUGCCAGGAAUGCCAUCCCCACCUCAUGCCUCCUGUUGAAACCCUUCUCUACCCUCCAUUCAAAUGACAUCUACUUCAAGGAGCAUCCUCAUGUGAUAGUCACAUCACUUCCUCAUCACUCCCACACAGACUGAGCCGACUUUGCUUAUGGGCCCAGGUGGUGGUGCUGGGUCAGCACCCUUUUUGUGUGCAUUUGACCCUCUGGGCUGAGCCCAGCACCGUGCUGGGAGCAGGGUCUCAUUUCCCCUUGAGGUGGUAUCUUUGUUGUCUCCAUGCCACAGGGCAGCCUUGACUCAGAGAGGCUGAGAGCCGGGCUCCGGGUCCGAGGGGGGGUGGUCAGGCCCCAGAGCACCAGCCCUGGCCCGCUGUGCUGUGCUGGCCCCUGACUUGUUCACCUAUGGGGGUCUUUGUCCCCCUCUUACUGCGGGGGCCAGUGGGGACGAUGUCAGGGUACAGGAUGAAAGCUCCAGGGUCACUCUGCCUGGGUUCAGAUUCCGGCUGCACUCCCCAGCAGCUGUGUGACCUCAGGCAAGAACUCCUCUGGGGUCCACCUGUCUGUUUUUGUAUUAUUGUGGUAAAACACCCCUCUCACGAAAUGCACCAUCUUGACCAUUUGUAAGUGUCCAGUUCAGCGGCACUAAGUACACUGACAAUGUCGUGCGGCGGUCAUACCAUCCUUCCUCAGAACGCUUUCCUCUUACAAAGUUUACACUCAGUCCCCUUUAAACAAGACCCCCACCACCUCCUCCCCCAGCCCCCGGCCACCACCGUUCCACUCUCUGUCUCCGUGAGUUUAACUCCUCGAGAGGCUUCAUGUGAGUGGCAUCGUGCAAAGUUCGUCCUUUUGUGACUGGCUUAUUUCACUGCAUAUGGGGUCCUCAGAGUUCAUGCAUGUUGUGGCAGGUGUCAGAAUGUCCUUCCUUUUCCAGGCUGAAUAAUAUUCCACGGUCUGUACCCUACCUCAUCUUUCAACCGAGGCGAGAAUCUACCUCCACAGUAGGUAUCAGCCGUUGGUACAGGCCUCACGGCCAGCCCCGGGCCUCUGUAGUGGGGUGGGCAGGGACGAGGAGGCGGGCACCCUCUGCUGACCAUGCAGGUCCAUGCUGAAGCUCGCCGUCUCCACCCUCUGCCCUCUCGAGUGAUUGCCCACCUGGGAGAAAAAGAGAGGGAAGCGUUGGCAAUGUGUCCCCAAAUUCUCCGCCCGCCGUGAGAGAUGGGGGGCCCUGCAGUGAGAGAGCCUUCUCGACUCCAGCUCUCUCCUGUCUGGGGAGCACCCACUCUGAGCCAGGAGCUGUGCUGCGAGCCAUCACCCCCGCUCGCCAGCUCUCAUCCCAGCUGCCAAGCGAGUGCCAAUCAGUGGGAUGGCAGAGCACGCAAGCGGGAGAGAAAAGUGCCAACCUGAAAGCCCUUGGCUGAGCCCCCAGGGAAAAGGGGAUGCUGCAACUCGCCCCAGGGAUCCGCGAGGUGUCAGCGCUGUGGAGAAGGGAAAUGAAAUGCUCGGUGCCCGUUCAGGGGAGCUGCCGUGAAACCCCAGGAGGAGGGAACGCCGCCAACGGUGCUUCGGGCCCCAGCACGGCGUCACAGAGCGCUGCUUCUGGACGGCGCUGCCCCUCUGGGUUCUGAACCCCCCUGGGCAGCUGUGUGGGCUGAGCCAGGCCCAGGGCUGGGCACCCUGGAGGGGUGAGGAAGGAGAAGAGAGAGGGAGGUACCCUACACACCACCCUGAGCCUGUUGGCUGUGCUUGGGUUUACCAGGUGCCGCACGCUGGAUUCCCAUGAGAUUCUGCAGCCCGAGGACCUUCCAGAACAUUCUUUUCCUCCUUCAAAACUUCUGAGAUUAGAAUCUAAGUGAUUGCUGCCCAAACCCAGUUAGGAGGUGGGGCCGGUGAGGGACCGGCAGAUUCGGGGAGCUAUCGGGGUGAGAGGACGUCCCAGUGCUGCUUAAACGAGGACAAUGAUGGGGCUGGGGAGCUCCUGUCAAAAUGGCCCCCACGUAAAGGAACACGUCACCUACUGCCCUGGAAGAUGGGACUAUUGUCCCAGCUCUCGCUCCCUCCAGGUCCUGGAAUUCUACCUCCGCACCCUGGCCGUGUGACUGGGCCGUACCCUGCCCCACCCAGCUUGGGCCUGGCCUGCGACUCUCUUGGGGCAGCAGGAUGUGAGUGACGUGACGCGAGGUUUUAAAUGUGCUUGCGUCAUCCGGCUUAGUCCCCUGCGCUUCUGCCAUCAGCCAUGAGGAGACCCGCCCCAAGCAGCUACCAGUCCAAGGAGAGGGAGGAAGCCCUUGGAUCCCACCCGAACCCAACCCCCAGCCCGGGGCCACGGCUGAUCCAACCCAGCAGACGCAGAAGUGAGAAAGAUACACAUGAAUUCCUGCAGCCCACUGACUGCUGCUGCCUGGUCCUUGGCGUUUUGGCAGCGUCGCUGACUGCCACCCCACACGCGCAUAGACGUACCCAAACAGCGCACACGCAGGCUCAUCCACGUACACCCAUGUGUGUGUGCACAGGUCACAGACACAGCCGCCCCCACUUUCUGCGGUUUCGCUUUCCAUGGUUUCAGUUACCUGUGGUCAACCAUGGUCCAAAAACAUUACAUGGAAAAUUCUAGAAAUAAACAAGUCAAAGUUUUAAAUUGCAUGUCGUCUGAGUAGCAUGAUGAAAUCUCUCCUUCUCACUCCGUCCUGCCUGGGUCCUGAGUCGUCCCUUUGUCCCGCGGAUCCACACUGUGUACACCACCCGCCCUUUAGUCCCUUAGUUAUCAUCUCAGUUAUCAUC